CACUAGUUGAGUAUUUUACAUUAAUAAGCAAAGUACUUAAUGGUUUGAUUGCCAAGCAAGCCCCGCCCCCUCUGCCCAUGUCCAGCCUCUGAUUGGUCCGCCCACGGAUCUUGGACGCCGAGUCGUCGCUCCAAAACCAGGAGCCAUUCUUCAGAGAGGAAGACAAAGAGGGACAGGAGUACUUUUUAGAGUGUACUUCUACUCCAAUACACAAUCACAGAUAUGUUUUAAUUGUAUGUAUGUAAAUACACACAUGUAACAAGAUAAAACACACAUAUGUAAAUGUACAGUACAUCACAUGUCAUUUAUCUGACCCUUUUAUCCAAAGCGACUUACAACAAGAACAUUUCAACCAUAAGGACACAAACUCAGAAGAACAAGAAACAAGAAAGUGUGAUUUCAUCAAAUAAUGUACAACUCGCUGUAGAUAAGAACCAUUAUAAGUCCAAUGUAAGUGCUACAGUUAGUUAGUGUGUUAGUGGAGGUCGAGUCUGAAGACGUGUGUCUUUAGUCUGAAGACGUGAAGGCUCUCUGUGGUCCUGAUGUCUUCAGAGACCUCCUUCCACCAUUUAGGAGCAGGACAGCAAAGAGUGGAGAUCUAGUCGAGUGUUUUGCUCUCAGUGAGGAGGAACAAGCAGUUUAUCACAUGCAGAGCGGAGAGUGCGGGUCGGGGUGUCGGGUUGGUAGAGCGAGUAUCUACAGGGUGGCGUAGUCAACAUAUUAACUAUUAACUGAUAACAUAUUAACUAUUAACUGAUAACAUAUUAACUACGUAGCGGUAUCGAGGGAUCACAAUGCACCUGCCGUGGGCGGCGUCCGCCCAGCCACACCGCGGGGUCGGUGUUUGCCAACUGACGGACAAACUGCCUCUCCUCUGGUGUGUGGAGAGCAGCCAGGUGACCUCCUUUCUGAGCGCACGCAGCCUGUCGCACACACACACACACACACACACACACACACAUGUUAGAGUGGGUGCAUAUUCACGUGUGGCGAACUACUGAAUUAAAACGUCCACCUUGGCGUCGGUCCAGGAGCUCCACACGGGGUAGAAAGCGAAGCACCUGGGCCCAAAGAGGAGCCACCCGGCUGGACACGGAGAGGCCGGCGUGCUCCCCGCUGACACGUCAUGCCAUCACAAGCACAACGACACGUUAAACGCGGCGGUUAGCGUGUUUCCCGCCAAGUUGUGGUUGAAACCGCUUUACCUGAAGCUGAGAGGGAGACCGACGUCUCCGCCAAGAGGACGGCCAACAGGAGACGAGCCGGCGCACAUUCCAUCAUCUCCUGUAACACACCACACAGGAAUGACGGGGAAUGAGAGACUCGUCUCCAGGAGGUCAAACCGGCCGUGGAACCAAAAUCUGCUUCCAUCUGAAGCCUGAGGGCGAGUAACCAGCUGGAGCGGUUUGGUCCUGAUGGUUAGCUGAUGUGUCUGAGACGUACCAGCCGGCAGCCUCCUUAAGCUCCGGUCCACGUCUCAGACCCUUACUGCUCCCCUGCUGAGGUUCUCCAGCUCGCAGGAACAACUGCUUUGGUUUACAGGUGUUUACAAAGAACUCCUUACUAAUCCACUACGGCCCCACGGCUACAUCCAACUAUUAAACCCUCAGGCGUUUUCUGGGAAACAGAAGACAAACACUGGAUCGCUUGAGGUGCCUGGGAUCUAAAUCCGCUGUUCGUUGUGAUGUUGUGUGUUUUUGUGUUUUUGUUGUGCCGCAUGUUUCCCCCGGUUUGUUUGUUCCGUCAUGUGUUUGUCUCUCUGUCGUUGUCCGUAUAGACGCUGCCCUCUGCUGCUUCCCGGCCUGUUGUCACCCACCUGCCCCCUAUCAUCUCCCUGGUUGUGUGUCGGAUUUGUUCCCCCUGUUUUCUUGUUAGCUUCCCUCAUAUUUGCUGUCCUGCUCCUAAAUGGUGGAAGGAGGUCUCUGAAGACAUCAGGACCACAGAGAGCCUUCACAUCUUCAGACUAAAGACACACCUCUUCAUACUCUACCUCCACUAACACACUAACUGUAGCACUUACAUUGGACUUGUAACGUCACUCAUCUAUAGCAAAUUGUAAAUUGGCUUAUUUGAUGAAAUUGCACUUUCUUGUUUCUUGUUCUCCUGAGUUUGUACCCUAUGGUUGAAUGCACUUAUUGUACGUCGCUUUGGAUAAAAGCGUCAGCUAAAUGACAUGUAAUGUAAU
ensembl:lncRNA